rnacentral:rRNA from 1 species
AUUGAACGCUGGCGGCAUGCUUUACACAUGCAAGUCGAACGGUAACAGGCCGCAAGGUGCUGACGAGUGGCGCACGGGUGUGUAAUGCAUCGGAACGUGCCCAGUCGUGGGGGAUAACUACUCGAAAGAGUAGCUAAUACCGCACACGAUCUAUGGAUGAAAGCGGGGGACCGUAACGCCUCGCGCGCUUGGAGCGGCCGAGGUCGGAUUAGGUAGUUGGUGGGGUAAAGGCUCACCAAGCCAACGAUCUGUAGCUGGUCUGAGAGGACAAGCGGCCACACUGGAACUGAGACACGGCCCAGACUCCUACGGGAGGCAGCAGUGGGGAAUAUUGGACAAUGGGCGCAAGCCCGAUCCAGCAAUGCCGCGUGCGGGAAGAAGGCCUUCGGGUUGUAAAGUGCUUUUGUACGGAACGAAGCGGCGCUGGUUAAUACCCGGGGGUAAUGACGGUACCGAAAGAAUAAGCACCGGCUAACUACGUG